AAUCUUCGGGGCAGGGUGUGAUUCCCGACCGGCGGUGUUCCAAUAAUUGGUAAGUCCGCGAGUAACGUUUGAUACGUAUUACAUGAGCUGGUGAGAUUCCAGCACCGACAGUAAAGUCUGGAUGGAAGGAGAU
rnacentral:ncRNA from 1 species